rnacentral:rRNA from 1 species
CUUCCGUAGGUGAACCUGCGGAGGGAUCAUUAAAGAGUUGCAAAACUCCCUACCACCAUUGCGAACGUUACCGAACACGUCGAUUGCCUCGGCGGGCCCCGCGCCCGCCGGGGGGACGCCCACACAGGCUCUUUGCAGUUACCGGCCUCUCUGAGUUUGAUUUUACCAAAUCAGUCAAAACUUUCAACAACGGAUCUCUUGGUUCUGGCAUCGAUGAAGAACGCAGCGAAAUGCGAUAAGUAAUGUGAAUUGCAGAAUUCAGUGAAUCAUCGAAUCUUUGAACGCACAUUGCGCCCGCCAGCACUCUGGCGGGCAUGCCUGUUCGAGCGUCAUUUCAACCACCAAGCCCUGCUUGUGUUGGGGCCCUGCGGCUGCCCGCAGGCCCUGAAAACCAGUGGCGGGCUCGCUAGUCACACCGAGCGCAGUAAGCACAUUCUCGCUCAGGGCGUGCGGCGGGUUCUUGCCGUGAAAAACCCCCCUGUACCUCCCACGGUUGACCUCUGAUCCGGUGGCCGACGUACGUCCGCUGAACUUAAGCAUAUCAAUAAGCGGAGGAA